AUGGAAGGCGCCGAUGCCCAUAAAGGUCAAGAUUUUCAUGUGGCAGCUUCUCAGAGAUCGCUUACCUUCGGGGACCGAGGUGCUGAAACACCAUGGUCCGGGCAAUGGCCUUUGUCCCCUUUGCCUCGUCCCGAAAACGGGAACGCACAUCUUGUUUUUGUGCGUAGCAGCGUAGGCACUUUGGUGCUUUGUUCAUGA
rnacentral:rRNA from 1 species